UGGUGGGUAGUUUAACUGGGGCGGUUGCCUCCUAAAAUGUAACGGAGGCGCCCAAAGGUUCCCUCAGCCUGGUUGGCAAUCAGGUGGUGAGUGUAAGUGCACAAGGGAGCUUGACUGUGAGACUGACAGGUCGAGCAGGGACGAAAGUCGGGACUAGUGAUCCGGCAUCUACUUGUGGAAGUGGUGUCGCUCAACGGAUAAAAGGUACCCCGGGGAUAACAGGCUGAUCUUCCCCAAGAGUCCAUAUCGACGGGAUGGUUUGGCACCUCGAUGUCGGCUCGUCGCAUCCUGGGGCUGGAGUAGGUCCCAAGGGUUGGGCUGUUCGCCCAUUAAAGCGGCACGCGAGCUGGGUUUAGAACGUCGUGAGACAGUUCGGUCUCUAUCCGCCGCGCGCGUUGAAACUUGAAGAAGGCUGUCCCUAGUACGAGAGGACCGGGACGGACGUACCUCUAGUGUGCCAGUUGUCACGCCAGUGGCAGGGCUGGUUGGCUACGUACGGGAGGGAUAACCGCUGAAAGCAUCUAAGCGGGAAGCCUGUUUUGAGAUGAGGUUUCUUUUGAGGUUCCCUCUAGACUAGGGGGUUGAUAGGCCAGAUCUGGAAGCGUAGUAAUGCGUUAAGGUGACUGGUACUAAUAUGACCGAGUAAUAACAUUGU
rnacentral:rRNA from 1 species